rnacentral:rRNA from 1 species
UUAAGUGGCGGACGGGGUGAGUAACGCGUGGAGUAACCUGCCGUAUACAGGGGGAUAACACUUAGAAAUAGGUGCUAAUACCGCAUAAGCGCACGGUUCCGCAUGGAACAGUGUGAAAAACUCCGGUGGUAUACGAUGGAUCCGCGUCUGAUUAGCCAGUUGGCGGGGUAACGGCCCACCAAAGCGACGAUCAGUAGCCGGCCUGAGAGGGUGAACGGCCACAUUGGGACUGAGACACGGCCCAAACUCCUACGGAAGGCAGCAG